UCUAAGUAAAUCACAGGAAACAAGCCAUAAAGGAAUUUAAACAGAGUGUAAUAGCCAGGGGGACUUAGAAAAAGAAGAAACCACUGAACAGCUGUUUGGGGACUGAAUUCUAUGUGGCACUUCCUUUUUCUUUCACUGAGUUGAGCAGUUACUAAUGGAGUCAGUCAGUUCAGACUAAAGGAACAUAAUGCAAUACCUAGAACAUGACAGGUACACAAUCAAUGUUUGUUGAUUGUCAUACACUUAGUACUGUGAACAAGGGGAUGACCAGGAGCAAAGAGAAAUCUGAAGUUUGAAGAGAUGCUGAGAAAAGGAACAAAUGGAACUUUCACAAGACCAUGGGGGGUAGAAUGGAAUUCCAUCCAGGUUCAAAAGCAGUUGGAGCUAAAGACCAAGAGUUCUUCUGAUCUGGGACUCUGUGUGGAGCUGGGUGGAAGAAAUACCAAUCUCAAAAUCCUUUUGCUUGAACUGAAUGAAGAUCUCAAUGCUCAACUGAAGCCAAUCUUUGGGAUACUCUCUUUUUCCCUUAGGGGAACCUAGAGUGUAUUCCCUGAAGAGAUUUCCUUGGUCAAGCCCUCAAGAAUUAUAUUAGGAAAGAAAUCUUUCCUCUUGCUUCUGACCUUUCCUUUCCUCAUUCUUUCAACAACCCAAUACCUGAAUAAAUUGGACACCUUGAGUUAUACCAGAAA